UACGUAGGGUGCAAGCGUUAAUCGGAAUUACUGGGCGUAAAGCGUGCGCAGGCGGUUGUGCAAGACCGAUGUGAAAUCCCCGGGCUUAACCUGGGAAUGGCAUUGGUGACUGUACAGCUAGAGUGUGUCAGAGGGGGGUAGAAUUCCACGUGUAGCAGUGAAAUGCGUAGAGAUGUGGAGGAAUACCGAUGGCGAAGGCAGCCCCCUGGGAUAACACUGACGCUCAUGCACGAAAGCGUGGGGAGCAAACAGG
rnacentral:rRNA from 1 species